rnacentral:rRNA from 1 species
UACGAAGGGUGCAAACGUUGCUCGGAAUUAUUGGGCGUAAAGCACACGUAGGCGGCUUUGCAAGUCCCAUGUGAAAUCCCACGGCUCAACCGUGGAAGUGCAUGGGAAACUGCAGAGCUUGAGUACUUAAGAGGAUCGCGGAAUUCCCGGUGUAGAGGUGAAAUUCGUAGAUAUCGGGAGGAACACCAGUGGCGAAGGCGGCGAUCUGGGAAGAUACUGACGCUGAGGUGCGAAAGCGUGGGGAGCAAACAGG